AUACGGAGGGUGCAAGCGUUAUUCGGAAUCACUGGGCGUAAAGGACGCGUAGGCGGGUUGGCAAGUCAGAUGUGAAAUCCUACAGCUUAACUGUAGAACUGCAUUUGAAACUACAGACCUAGAGUAUGGAAGGGGCAGAUGGAAUUAGUGGUGUAGGGGUAAAAUCCGUAGAUAUCACUAGGAAUACCGAAAGCGAAGGCGAUCUGCUGGGACAUUACUGACGCUGAGGCGUGAAAGCGUGGGGAGCAGACAGGAUUAGAAACCCUAGUAGUCC
rnacentral:rRNA from 1 species